GGGGUUGUGGCUCAGUGGUAAAGUGCUCGCCUAGCACGUGUGAGGCCCUGGGUUCAAUCCUCAGCACCA
rnacentral:tRNA from 1 species